GUAUGUGUGUGUGUAACUGUCUGUUUGUCUGUAUACAUCUGUGCGUGAGCGUGCGCCUGCUGCUGACCCACAUGGCUUCCUCAUGUACAUACCUAAACACUAACACCAACCAUUACAACUAACAACGAAAUCAAAAUGUCGGACGAGCGAACAAGCGAAAAAUGGAGUCAGGGAGAGCGGAAAGAGUAGGAGGGGGAGAGGCAGUCGCUGAGAGGCUGAAGAUGACGGGAGGUGAGCCUAUGAUUGGCUGGACGAAGCAGGGGACGAGAAUGAGGGAGGUGGCUGUGUGGGCUGCGGGUUCCUCUCUCAUCUAACCUUCCCUUCAAUGUGCCAGUUGUUAUGUGUCCGCUUACUGUGUGGUGGUGGUGGUAUUGACAUGAAGGUGACUCGUGUUGACGUUUGGUGGAAUGAUGGUGUGUGAUGUGUAUAAAGGAUAAUGUGAGGUGUGUGGCUACGUGGCGUCGUGGUUGGUCGCUGCUGGCAUCUUCUCUCUCCGUGGUGUGAGAUAUAAGUUAGGCCAGAGGGAAUGGAUUGGAUCUCUUUCACUUCUAUCCUACACUGCACUCCACUGCGCCCUCUGAUAGGACUCUCCUCCCACUCACACCCCUGUCAGGUGUUGAAGAGAGGGCGGUUACUCAGGUGUGUGUCUGAGAGAGUUGUGUCCCAAGGGAGGGAUGCUGUGGCGGCGAGUGGGUGAGUGUGCUGCA